UUUCCGUAGGUGAACCUGCGGAAGGAUCAUUAAUAAAUUUUUUUUGAAAUAAAAAAAAAUAAUAAUAUCCUACCCUUUGUGAAUUGUUUGUUUGAAUAAUUUUUAAAAUUAUUUAUUGUCUAUCCAAGUUGGAAAGUUGUAAAGACUCGAAGACUUGGAGCGCAUAAAUAAGUUUAAAGACUUUUUUUAAAAUUAAACUUUUGUAUUCAUUUGUCUAAAAUAAUUUUUAUAAUAUAUAAAACAACUUUUGACAAUGGAUCUCUUGGUUCUCGCAACGAUGAAGAACGCAGCAAAAUGCGAUAAGUAAUGUGAAUUGCAGAAUACGUGAAUCAUCGAAUCUUCGAACGCAUAUUGCACUUUUUAGUUACUAAAAAGUAUGUCUGUUUGAGUAUCAGUAAAAUAUUCUCAUAAAAUUUUAAUUUUAUGGUUAUGAGUGUUUUACAACGAUAAACAAGUUGUUUCACUUUAAAUUGAAUUUUUUGAAGAAAUUCUUAAUUCAAAUUAAAUUUGGAUAAAAUUUUCCCGUAAAAGGAAUAACUAUACAAGUUUAAUAAGAAUUAGUGAUUUCUUUUAUGAAAGGAAAUUUAUUAAAUAACUUGAUCUCAAAUCAGAUAAGAGUACCCGCUGAACUUAAGCAUAUCAAUAAGCGGAGGAAAAGAAACUAACAAGGAUUCCCUAGUAACGGGAGUGAAGCGGGAAGAGCUCAAAUUUGAAAUCUUAAAGGUUUCCCUUUACGAAUUGUAGUUUAAAGAAGUGUUUUCUGUUGAGGUUUUGGUAAAGUUCUUGGAAUAGGACAUCAUAGAGGUGAGAAUCCGUAUUUGACCUUUACUUUCAACUUUGUGAUACACUUUCAAAGAGUCGGAUUGUUUGGGAAUGCAGUCCAAAAUGGGUGGUAAAUUUCAUCUAAAGCUAAUAUUGGCGAGAGACCGAUAGCGAACAAGUACCGUGAGGGAAAGAUGGAAAGAACUUUGAAAAGAGAGUUAAACAGUAGUGAAUUGUCAAAAGGGAAGCGUUUGACACCAGUGUUGUUUUUCUGAAAUCAAUUAAAGAACUGUUUAUGCUAAGUUGUUUAGACUUUAUCAGCUAACUGUUUAGUUUGAGCUUUUCUUUAUGCACUUUCAGUUAACAAGUCAACAUCAAUUUCUUUUGCUGUAAAAAAGCUUGAGGAAGGUGGCUUGAGAUUCGUCUUAAGUGUUUAUAGCCUCUUGCCUAUGCAGCGGAGAGAUUGAGGUCUGCAGCGUAGAUCCUUCGGGCUAAAUGCAUUUGUGCUAAGUUAUAGCAUUUUAUAGACAACUGUUGACUAUGAUUUGUCUUGUAGCUUACUCGCUUAUGUUAUUU
rnacentral:misc_RNA from 1 species